UGUCUCGGCCAUGCUACCCUGAACAAGCUGGAUCCCAUCUGAUUUUGGAAGCUAAGCAGUGUCGUAUCUGGUUAGUACUUGGAUGGGAGACCACCUAGGAAGACCAGGUGCUGUAGACAU
ensembl:rRNA 5S_rRNA 5S ribosomal RNA